UGCUCCAGUCCAUCGCAUGGUGGUCUGGGAAAGAUUUUAUCGGUAUGGGAUGGGGUCGCGUCCUAUCAGGUAGUCGGCGGGGUAACGGCCCACCAUGGCCUCGACGGGUAGCCGGCCUGAGAGGGUGACCGGCCACAUUGGGACUGAGAUACGGCCCAGACUCCUACGGGAGGCAGCAGUGGGGAAUAUUGCACAAUGGGCGGAAGCCUGAUGCAGCAACGCCGCGUGCGGGAUGACGGCCUUCGGGUUGUAAACCGCUUUCGCCUGUGACGAAGCGUGAGUGACGGUAAUGGGUAAAGAAGCACCGGCUAACUACGUGCCAGCAGCCGCGGUGAUACGUAGGGUGCGAGCGUUGUCCGGAUUUAUUGGGCGUAAAGGGCUCGUAGGUGGUUGAUCGCGUCGGAAGUGUAAUCUUGGGGCUUAACCCUGAGCGUGCUUUCGAUACGGGUUGACUUGAGGAAGGUAGGGGAGAAUGGAAUUCCUGGUGGAGCGGUGGAAUGCGCAGAUAUCAGGAGGAACACCAGUGGCGAAGGCGGUUCUCUGGGCCUUUCCUGACGCUGAGGAGCGAAAGCGUGGGGAGCGAACAGGCUUAGAUACCCUGGUAGUCCACGCUGUAAACGGUGGAUGCUGGAUGUGGGGACCAUUCCACGGUCUCCGUGUCGGAGCCAACGCGUUAAGCAUCCCGCCUGGGGAGUACGGCCGCAAGGCUAAAACUCAAAGAAAUUGACGGGGGCCCGCACAAGCGGCGGAGCAUGCGGAUUAAUUCGAUGCAACGCGAAGAACCUUACCUGGGCUUGACAUGUUCCCGACAGCCGUAGAGAUACGGUUUCCCUUCGGGGCGGGUUCACAGGUGGUGCAUGGUCGUCGUCAGCUCGUGUCGUGAGAUGUUGGGUUAGGUCCCGCAACGAGCGCAACCCUCGCCCUGUGUUGCCAGCGGGUUAUGCCGGGAACUCAUGUGGGACCGCCGGGGUCAACUCGGAGGAAGGUGGGGAUGACGUCAGAUCAUCAUGCCCCUUACGUCCAGGGCUUCACGCAUGCUACAAUGGCCGGUACAACGCGAUGCGACACGGUGACGUGGGGCGGAUCGCUGAAAACCGGUCUCAGUUCGGAUCGCAGUCUGCAACUCGACUGCGUGAAGGCGGAGUCGCUAGUAAUCGCGGAUCAGCAACGC
rnacentral:rRNA from 1 species